GCAUAGCCAUAAACCUCAAUAGAAAUAUACUUACUAUUCGCCAGAAUACUACAAGCAAAACGCUUGAAACUCAAAGGACUUGGUGGUGUCCCAUAUCACCCUAGAGGAGCCUGUCCUAUAAUCGAUACUCCACGUUAAACCUCACCACCUUUGGCCACUACAGCCUAUAUACCGCCGUCGCCAGCCUACCCUAUGAAGGUCCUAUAGUAGGCAAAAUAGCUCACACUAAAACGUCAGGUCAAGGUGUAGCUUAUAAGGUGGAAGAGAUGGGCUACAUUUUCUAAAUUAGAAAACACGAACAAUGCAAUGAAACCUUGCAUUAGAAGGAGGAUUUAGCAGUAAAAUAAAAAGAAAGACCAUUUUAAACAAGCCCUGGGACGCGC
rnacentral:rRNA from 1 species